rnacentral:misc_RNA from 1 species
GUCGAUCUUUGCAUAUGCAUAAAUGAGCUCGCUAUCCACCUUAGGCUCUUUAGCCUUCUGCCUCACCAUCAACAAGUACUUCACCAGGUCAUGGUACACAUUAGCGUCCUCAGCAGCUCGAAUAACAUCUAAGAAUUCUGUUGCAUCAUCCGCACGAAUGAAAGACUCUAUUGCCUCGCUUACAAGUCCUUCUCUUAGCUGAGCCUUUGCUACCUGGCUCCAA